UAAAUCUCCCCCAAUGUGAGCGGUAGUUGGACAUGGCAGUAGGCAGGAGACAUCAUACUUUCCCAUUGGAGUCUAUUAGGAGUUUACCAUAUCCACUGUGGAUAAUUAGGAAGCUUACAUCUUUGUUUCUGGAAUAAAGGCCUCAAGUGGCCAAUUGUCUGCAACAAAGCAGGUUUGUAUCCUGAAACCCCAACCAACCCCAGUACACUUCUGCAAAUUGACAGAGCUUUCACUUUUGUGUGAGAGAUGACAAUGAUACUGGAAAACUGAAAUACUACAAUGGGAAUGCACGAGCAAACAAAGCUCAAGAACAUCACUUCUUAGCCACGGGAUAUUUCAGACAGAACCGUUUGUUCAAGGCACCAGAAUACAAGCUAAAUUCUAUCUGAAUGACUAAAAGGAUCUAAAACAUAAGCUGUGUUUAAAAAAAUCUACAGAUAUUCCAAAAUGUUUCAUGGAUUCUUUAGACUUCAGUUUAAAGACUGUGUAGCUAAAGCUUUUUAGAAAGUAGAAAUGAAUGAUGCCAUAGCAGGAUGCGGGGAAGAUUAGCUACCCGGGUAAACUUGCGGCAGAAACAAGAUUAAGCUACAAAUCAUCCAGAUCAAUAUGGAGGUCAAAGCACUAGGAUGUGCAUCAACAAAAGCCCUCGAAUGAAACUCAAUGUCAAAACUUUGAUAGCGCUAAUUAACAUUGACUGCUAGGAGAUUCUGGAAUUUGAAGGACACAGAUAAGUCUUUUAGAAAGCUUUGCAUAAAG